GAUGAACGCUAGCGACAGGCCUAACACAUGCAAGUCGAGGGGCAGCACGGUGUAGCAAUACACGGGUGGCGACCGGCGCACGGGUGAGUAACGCGUAUGCAACCUGCCUACUACAAGGGGAUAACCCGUUGAAAGACGGACUAAUACCCUAUAACACAGGGGAUCCGCAUGGAUAUAUUUGUUAAAGAUUUAUCGGUAGUAGAUGGGCAUGCGUUCCAUUAGCUUGUUGGUGAGGUAACGGCUCACCAAGGCAACGAUGGAUAGGGGAACUGAGAGGUUGAUCCCCCACACUGGAACUGAGACACGGUCCAGACUCCUACGGGAGGCAGCAGUGAGGAAUAUUGGUCAAUGGACGAAAGUCUGAACCAGCCAAGUCGCGUGAAGGAAGACGGCCCUACGGGUUGUAAACUUCUUUUGUAAGGGAAUAAAUAGUCUUACGAGCUAAGACGUUGCAGGUACCUUACGAAUAAGGAUCGGCUAACUCCGUG
rnacentral:rRNA from 1 species